GUGGGGAAUAUUGGACAAUGGGCGAAAGCCUGAUCCAGCCAUGCCGCGUGUGUGAAGAAGGUCUUCGGAUUGUAAAGCACUUUAAGUUGGGAGGAAGGGCAGUAAGUUAAUACCUUGCUGUUUUGACGUUACCGACAGAAUAAGCACCGGCUAACUUCGUGCCAGCAGCCGCGGUAAUACGAAGGGUGCAAGCGUUAAUCGGAAUUACUGGGCGUAAAGCGCGCGUAGGUGGUUUUGUAAGUUGGAGGUGAAAUCCCCGGGCUCAACCUGGGAACUGCCUCCAAAACUGCAUGACUAGAGUACGGUAGAAGGUAGUGGAAUUUCCUGUGUAGCGGUGAAAUGCGUAGAUAUAGGAAGGAACACCAGUGGCGAAGGCGACUACCUGGACUGAUACUGACACUGAGGUGCGAAAGCGUGGGGAGCAAACAGGAUUAGAAACCCCUGUAGUCC
rnacentral:rRNA from 1 species